rnacentral:rRNA from 1 species
UACGUAGGGGGCAAGCGUUGUCCGGAAUCAUUGGGCGUAAAGCGCGUGUAGGCGGCCCGAUAAGUCCGCUGUGAAAGUCCAGGGCUCAACCCUGGAAUGCCGGUGGAUACUGUCGGGCUCGAGUCCGGAAGAGGCGAGUGGAAUUCCUGGUGGUAGCGGUGAAAUGCGCAGAUAUCAGGAGGAACACCAAUGGCGAAGGCAGCUCGCUGGGACGGUACUGACGCUGAGACGCGAAAGCGUGGGGAGCAAACAGG